AAAUGUCACUCUCCAUCUGUCACCCCAUUGAUCACCAGGGUUGAUUCAGCUGAUCUGGCUGGCUAGGCAGGUGUCCCCCUCCUCCCUCACCGAUCCAUGUGCGUCUCCCCCGAAGCUGCGCGCUCCGUCGCUCCGACGGAUGAAGAGGACGACCUUCCCCCCAGAGGAGAGCACCGGUCUUUGGUCAAGGGUAUACGAGUAGCUGCGCU
rnacentral:snRNA from 1 species